UACGAAGGGGGCUAGCGUUGCUCGGAAUUACUGGGCGUAAAGCGCACGUAGGCGGACCGAUAAGUCGGGGGUGAAAUCCUGGAGCUCAACUCCAGAACUGCCUUCGAAACUGCCGGUCUUGAGUUCGGGAGAGGUGAGUGGAACUGCGAGUGUAGAGGUGAAAUUCGUAGAUAUUCGCAAGAACACCAGUGGCGAAGGCGGCUCACUGGCCCGAUACUGACGCUGAGGCACGAAAGCGUGGGGAGCAAACAGGG
rnacentral:rRNA from 1 species